GGCGGUUCUUUGGUGACACACCCCAGAAUCGGGCUCCCUCCUCCCUAAUUCCAGGUGUGUCACUCAAGAAGCU
rfam:Myotis davidii contig191104, whole genome shotgun sequence.